UGGGGGUGAUGUUACACAGGGUGGUGAGAUUAAACUGCUUUCUUCUCAGCAAAAACAAAACUUUGAAAUUGUCAGACAUUUGGCUUUAUUGUGACAUGUAAAACACUGCAUAUGCUUAACUUUUUAGAGUUGCUUUUUAAAGUUUGUAUGGGCGAUUUUCAGGGAUAUACUCUUUUUAAGCCAAUACAAUGAAACCGUCUCCUGGUGGCUGAUAACAAUUUGUGUGUGUGUGUGUGUGUGUGUGUGUGUGUGUGUGUGUGUGUGUGUGUGUGUGUGUGUGUGUGUGUGUGUGUGAGUGAGUGUGUGUAUGCGUGUCUGUGUGUGUGUGUAUUGUUGUAUUUUAAAACGCAUAGUCAAUUUGCACAAGUCUGCAGUGCUGUCACUUAUUAGUGUACUAUGACAUUUUACCAGCUGGUAUCCUAUCCCCUCCAUAUUACAGUUUGUUCUCGCAACUCAUGAUUGCACCUAAAUUACUUAACACAUGUAGUACUAUAGUUUUGACAGCAUUACACGAUGCUUUGUUUCUCCUGAAACUAAAAGAAAAUAAACCUACUGUUAAUAGAGUCUGAUGGAAAAUAGGAGCAUGCUGAUGAAGAGAUGCACAUGGUCUUUAUUUGUGUGACUAACUUAAGUAGUUUUCUCAAUGAAUGUAAGUUGUGAAAAUCAUUAUUGUCCACUGGUAUUUUGUAUAGAUUUUAGAACAUGAUACUAAUUCAUUACUGACAUGGUACACCAGCAAAUGAAUAGGGAGAGCACUACUUAUAGCACUGCACAAAACAUGCAUAAUAUAUCAAUAUUCAAUACUUACCAACUGUAACUGAAAUCACAUAUUUUAACACACAAAACAAAAACAAAUAACAGCUCUGACUACUCCUUUUUCAAGUGGAGCACACAUGUAGUCACAUCUCUGUCAUGCCUUCAUCCAGCCACAGCGCCAUCAAACUAAGCAUACUCACAUUGUUGGUCAGACUGCAAAUGUGUGUUGAGAAAACAUCAGGGUCGGAAUGCAGCCCAGCAUACUGUUGAAGUCUUCACAACAACAAAACGUUGGUCAUUUAUUGAAUCUGACAUUAAUUACAGUUUUCAAAUCAGCACUCAAUUUUUUAUUUGUGCUAAUGUUUGCUUCAGCCAAACAUUAAAAGGUUCAACACUGUGUUUUUUUUGCUCUCAGAAUACCUGAGGCACAUGUUUUGUGAGAUGAAAUAGUGUAACCCUUCAGUGAAACAGUGAGAAACGUACACACCGGUGACACCAUUUAACUCUCUUGUCAGCUCCCUGUGGCUGCACGGGUUGUUCUCUAGAUUGUGCUGUACCACAGACUUGAUAGUCAGCAAGUAAACAAAGUUUUUUUCAUUUGUUCUUCUCAUCAAAAGUAGUACUUGAUUAAUAAAUAGUAAAACAUUGCCUGUUUUGGACUAGUAUUUAGUAAAUCAUGCACAUCUAGUGAUUCUAUGAACUGUUUUUGAGAUGUUUCAAUUUUUACCAUGCUUUACACUUAGUUUUUGCUCCUGCAUGUGCCUCUGUGCAUGUGUGCUUGUGUGCGUGCAUGUGAGUGUGUGUUAAGAAGUCCCAGGGCUCAGUUCUCUCCAUUUGCUGCUCACUGAGCCUGAAUAUGGUUACAUAGCAGACUUUCCUGAGGGAGACACUGACAGGCAUACUGACUCUGCUGCACACAGGGGAACAUCAGCGGUCUAACACUCACUCUCACACAUAAACACACAAAGACACACACACAUGCAGACGUAUGCACAAUCCUGAAUGAUGAACUUUUUACCGCAGUUAAAUCUCUCGAGGAUAACUUUACAUUAUAUGUUCAUUUUUAUGUUUCAUGAUUAAAGAGAAAUCUAAAUGUUGAAUCAUUUAAAGUUAAGUCCCACUUUUAUUUUUAUUACAAAUUGUCCCUUUUUUAUAUUUACAAACUAAUCUUUGGAUAUUAUUGCAUUAAAUUUUCCACUGUGCCACCUGUAGUGAAGACACAUAUCUUUACACAUAAGCCCAAAUAACAUUUGAUAGUUGUGGACUCAAAAAGUCAUGAGUAGACAGAUGCAGACAGAUUUGGCAAUUUUCCUAUCUCUCAAUGUUGGAAUAUAAUCCUGUGUUUUCUUUAACCUCCACAUUUUUGGCGUAUAGUUUACAGUCUCAAUGUCAACACCUAGAGAGUGUUUUGGUUCCCAAAGUUAGUUUUGAUAAAAAUCAAACCGCAUUUCCUUCCAGACAGUCUGAGCAGAUUGUUUGCAGCUUAUUCCUCCUCCUUUAGGUUAAUGGAUUUGAAGACAUUCCAGUCAGGCAGAAAUGUAGCUACAGAAUGGGAAUCAUGCCUGAGGGCAAUUCUCACUAAGUGGGGAGAGAGCCAUUAAACAAAGGUGCCUGUGGUUUCAUAUUCAGGAUACUUUACAGCCUCCGUCCCAGGACAUCAACAGUGUUUUUGGGUGUGCUGUCAGAGGAGGGCAGGCGAGGGGGGAAGGAGGAUCCAUCUGCCGUACUGCUGGUCCUCAGGGAGACGGGCAUAUCCCAGGGGUGUUUUGGAGAGAGAAGGGCUGAAAGGAUUACACCCAACCACUAAUCAACGGCGGUAAUCUGCGGGCCCCCAUACAAAAUCCCCUCCGAUCCAAACAACAAAUUUAGGACAGAAGAUGAAACCUUCAGCAUACAGGGACAUCUAGCCUAUGUCCAACAACCUGAAAAAUCCAAGGACAAAUACAGGUGAUUUUUAAUUGGGAGAACCCAGUGUGGAGGUGUGAUUGGCAAAGCGCCAUGGUGUGUCUGUGAUCAGGUGCAAGUGUCCCACAAGUGGCCUAGUCCGAUUCCCAGUGUGACCAUUAUGCAAAUACAGUAACUAGACAAGCCCGCAACAUAAAUUAGUCUAACGGAUAAAAACACUUCUCUGAUCAAACCAGAUUUCAAAAACCCUUUCUUUCAUUUUGGGAAAUGUAGAUUUUCUUUCCUGUGUUUUAAAUAAGAUUUUUUAAUUUGAAAGUGGACUUGGUCUCUUUACACAGGAGCCAAAGCCGAGAGCAAAUGUCUGUGCAAUUGUUAGUGUUCUUUAGAUGGCUGAUUUCAUGCUGUCAAAAGGUGAAAGCUGCAGAAAAGUUCACCCUCAGCCGUCUUAGGACUCACAGCGGGAUGUACAAGGUGCAACCUCUAAGCUGGUCUCUCCAUCCGGUGACAGACUUGCAGGGAAUCAAGUUUCCACUAGUGUUCUUGGUCCCCUGUCAGUCUGAUUUUGAUGUCUGGGACCUGGGUGGGGCCUGGAUGUGUCAUUGCUGGCUUUAGCUCCACAGGAAAACUGAAAAAAAGCUUUCUAAUGACGAUGCCAGUCCUCUAGGGCAUAGGGAACUGGAGCAUCCUGGCCUGCAUCUUCUCUACCUCCUGCAGUAUGCCCAAUGGCUAGGCCUCCUCUAAGCUCCAUAUCCCCAUAGCCUUAUUGUUUAGUGAGCCCGGCACUGUCAAUAUUAAGCCCGGCUAAUGUGAUCUAGAGGCAGCUGGAGCAGCCCCGAUUAUUACCAUGACACAGCCGACUGAGGGGUGUAAUAUCAUUAAAAAUAAAUCAGGUGGUUUGGAGAUUUGCUGUUGCUGGGGUGGGGGGGACUUUGAAUGGCAUUAGGUGGGAAAACUGCCAUAAUUUCAUUAGUCUGUUGGGGCACCUCAAAGGAUCUGUUGAAACGUUUCCUUUAAGUUUGAGUAAUUGAAUUUUCUUUCCAAACACUGAAAACAAAACUAAAAGACAGGGGAAAUAAUUUUGGUAAUUUCCCAAUCAAGCACCUAAUUUCUAAAAUCAAUUUAGGACGUGUUAAGAAAUACACAGACACUUUUAUUUUGUAGGGAGGAUCAUAUUUCAAUUUCCUAAUUACAGUGUAUAUUGAAGGUAAUCUAGAUUGAAGGCAGACAUGGGAUAUUCUCGGUGUUAUUAUUAGCCCCUUGUGAUGGAUUAUUGCUGCAAAUGAUGGGGAAAACGUGAGGCACUGCUAAUCUUCUUAAAGUGCUUGACACUGAGCUGUCUGCUCGGCAGACUCAUCAGCAAUCAGCUGGCAAGUGAACAGGCUGACAGGAUCCAAAGACAUUUCAAAAUAAAAUAACGCCAGACUUUGCUUAUUUGUGCUUCUGUCUUAAUGUUAUUUUGAAAAAGAGUUUCACAGACAGACUUUUGUGGAGGGUCCUUUUCCCUCAGUUUGCGUGUUCGAUCCGCUAUCCCAGCGCCAGAAGUGCCGUUGGUCUCACAGCGAGGGUCUCAUGUCGCUAUUGUUCUGACGCUGCAGCCACAUAAACGGUGAUUUCAAGGCCCAUUGAGCGCCCGAUGGAUUGUGCCAGAAAUCGGCUGACGAGUGCAAACCAUCGAUUAUUGGAGGAGAGGCUGACGGGACGCUGAGUUGUGCAGGGUUAUAUGUCGACUGAACCACUCAGUGAGGACAUAUCCGAUCACUCAAAAAGCAAAAUUAAUAAAUGAUAAAUAAAUGAUAUUUAGAAAAAAAAAUCUAUCUAUCUAUCUAUCUAUCUAUCUAUCUAUCUAUCUAUCUAUCUAUCUAUCUAUCUAUCUAUCUAUCUAAUCUAAUCUGAUUUAAUCUCAUCAACAGUGUAAAUGCAAAUUGAGUCAAACUUUACAGGCUCAUGUCUCAAUGUUGUGUAACAGCUACAUCUAGCGGUAAACUUUUAAAUCGCAGGCUCCCUAAAGUGUAAUGGCUUUACAUUGUGCUGUUAGUGUAUAAAAAGCUAAAAAGAUUAACCAGUAAGUCUUAAAACACGUGCUGACUUUGCUUAAGCAGAGUAUUUUGUUUAUUAUUUUUUUGUUUAUCUGUAUGCCCUGUUAUUUGCUCUGAACUAAAUGUCCCUUUAGGGAUUAAAAGAAUUAUCAGGAUUAAUCUGAAUUGAACUGAAAUGUUGUGACAUAAGAUUUGCAGAUGUUUGAUUAUUUUAUUAAUUAGUAGUUGUUUCAGUGAAUUACUAUAAAGAGCCUUUGUAUGUUAAUGCUGUUAUGCUGGAUAAUUGACAAUGUUUUAUAAAAUAAUACAAAUUUUAAAUGAAAUGUUCUGAUUUUGUGUCCUAACUCCUCCACACAAAAUACCACAAAAAUGAAACUCACAUGGUCAAGUAGAGGUAUUAUAUAGUGUUCAACAGAAAUGCUUAAGUCUCUUAAGGCUGUAAGCCUACCUUGCAGUGUCAGUUAAAGACUUGAUUGUAUUUCAUCUUUUAUAAAACUCAUAUAUGUUUAAAAAAUACUGGUAAAUUGUUUAUAUGUGUUAUUUUUGCAAUAAAUCAAGCACCAGUUAAUACAGUUUGAUUAAUAUUUAUGUGUUUUUGAAAUACACAUUAAAUCUGUUGCUUUUAAAAGGUAAACAAAUCACCUCUCUCUAUCCCUCACACAAACACUCACACACUUAAUGCAAAAUAUAUAGUGGAUAUACACUAACACUUCAUACUAGACAUUUAUCACUGACACUUUAUCCUUGAUAACAAUCCUAACUGUGCCUUGUAUUGUGUUUACCCAAGUAUUUAUCAUCAUCAUCUAUUCUAUUCUAUCUAUUUUAGCAGAUAAAAGCUUCUGCUAAUCUUUUCCUCUGAGAAAUUAGGUCUUGUUCAUGUUUCAUCAUAUUUAACUGUUGUAUACCUACUUUCUUCCUCAGCUUCUGAGCAUGUAUCAUCAGCAUCAUCUUCUCUG